ensembl:lncRNA
GGCUGAACAAGGGCCUUAGAAGGUAGAAGACAGAGAGAUGACUACGGAGGCUUUCAGAUUCUGUCCUUUGGAGCCAUGGAGAUUCCAGUCCUGCACUUGCCCUGUGUGACUAGCUCUGGGGGAGGUAUGAGAAAGGUCCCUGGGUGUGCCUGGAGCAGGGAUGUGUGUGCACAGACCAGACAUGAAGAUGGAUUGUUCCCAGCAAUAAAUAUCGACUGAUUCAUAAAUCUGGUUGCCAGAUUCGAUCACAGUCACUGCCUGUAUAAUCCAAGAGCAGGAAGAUGCCAGCUAAUUCUGUGCUGGGCCCGCCGAUUCCCGGUGGAAGAUGUUGAAUAAACGUCAAUGUCUCCUAGCCCUGUGCAUCUUGGGGUUGUGUGAGGGGCUUGGGGAGAAUGAAUCCUUCCAGCCUUGGAGGAGGCAGGUGGCAAAGACUCAAGUGAACCGAGGGACAGACGGUUUCACAGGACAGGACUGUGGCCGCCUUCUCCCCCACCAUCUCCGCCCCCCUCCCUCCCUUUAGCUUGAACCUGCCUCUACAG